ACGUCUGUAGUAUGCAUCGUCCCCUCCAGGUGCAAAUCUGGAGUCGUCAUCAGCCACGAUGAUGAAACUUGUCCAUCUGCCUGAGCGUGAGACAGCUGGUGGCUUGUCAAUUUAUUUGACUUUUGCCAUUCAGCGACGAUGAUCGCAACCGGGUCUCGAACCCGGGGGGUAGAUGGACAGUCUGAGUGGUC
rnacentral:snoRNA from 1 species